GAAUCACAUCAGUAGUGUCUCCAGAGGAGAGAGGAUCUCUACCUGUGGCUUCAUAUUCAUCAACUGCACCUUACCUAAUGGGACACACAUAUCAGAGUGGGUGUUUGAAGCCGAUAACACACUGUGUAUUAACCCAACUACUGCCCCUACCACUGCUCCAACUACUGCCCCUCCCACUAGUUUGGGUCACAUGUCCAUCAUAUGUGCGUUGAAAGCAGCUGUGAUAAUUCUCUUGAUAACUGGGAUUCUCGUCUUUUCUGCCUGGAAGAAAAAGAGACAAGGAAAAGCUGAAGGCUCAGUUGUCCCACAGACACUGGAACCUCCAGAGAACUCUGUCAUGAUGGUUGAAAUGAGAGGUUCUGCACCUUAAAACAACAACUAGCGACACAUUUCAUCCGCGCUAGGUUCCUUAUUUUACCCGUUUUUGUCUCUGAAAUACUUUCAAUUGUACUGGCUUUACAUGAAGCACGGCAGCAGAAAAAUGUGUCUUAUAAUAAAAAGCACGUCCUUCAUUAGUGGAUCACUGGUAUCAAAAUGACCCAAUAUUCAAACCUUGUCUGUAUUUUCAUGGAACCAAUUAAUUUUAAGUUUUUAAUGGCUGUUUCAAGUUUUGUUUAGUAUUUUGUCUGUGACUGUACUAAUAAAUUGCACUUGAAGAUCUAAGAGUGAUUGUUAA